GUUUAUAUCAAAUUAUGACAUAUUAAAGAAUCUUGAACUGGAACAAGGUAAAGCUGAGCACACUUCCUCCUUUCUCCCGGUGGCCUGGUGCACAAUGUAAGAGGGUAUGGCAACCCCCAAAGGACAAUUGUAUAGAAAUACACUGGCACUCAAUUGAAAUGCAUGGUUACCCCUUGCUAUUUAUUUUGUGCGAAUGUGCAACGUUUCGGGGCGAACCCCUUUAUCAAGCAUACCACAAAAUAGAAGUGUAGACAUUAUAACAGGUAUCCAAUUGUAAUAAUUAGCAUACAUAAUUGACCACCACCUGAAAAAAGGAAUAAAGGCUUCACCAAGUCAAGCUGCCAAAAGCAGCGCAAGAUCCGAAGGGGACAUCGGAAGCCGAAGCACCAGACACCGGGGCAAGUACAAAAGACAUUAUCGCAGAUAAGAAAAUCUUAUAUAUUCUCCAGGGACAGAUACACAUUGUAUUUUAAUACACAGAAGUGAGUAAUCACAUUUGGAUAACCUUUUUUGACCUACAAUUGCUAGCCCUGUUGAUCUUUUUUGGACAGCACCUUGGAUUGGAUUUUAAUUUUUUUACCUUUUUCUGAUUGGACUACACACAGGGCAAGCAAAGGGGAGGAGGUGGUGGUCAAUUAUGUAUGCUAAUUAUAUUACAAUUGGAUACCUGUUAUAAUGUCUGCACUUCUAUUUUGUGGUAUGCUUGAUAAAGGGGUUCGCCCCGAAACGUUGCACGUUCGCACGAAAUAAAUAGCAAGGGGUAACCCUGCAUU